rnacentral:lncRNA from 1 species
AGAGACUUCACAAAAAUCCCUUGGCAAUGACAAAUUUAUUAACCGUACCGAAAUUCGCGAAAGCUCGAUUGGAUCUUGGGUUUCCGGGUGGUUCACCGGAGAAAUUAUCCGCUGGGCAUGUCGCCGGAUUCCGGCGAGAAGAGAAAUGGAGAGAGAAAGAGAAAGAGGCGUCUCGGAGAUAGACUGAAAUGAAACGGAGAGAAACUGAAACUGCUUAAAGUGAGGGGAUGGCUUAUAAAACUGAAAAAAUAUUCUUUAUUUCAGAUUGGUCCCUCAUAUCUCAAAUAUUUUGCUAUUUCACGUCUUGCAUUUUUUUAUUUUCAUAUAUAUCCCUAAUGUCUUUUUGGUUUUCAUGCAGCCCC